UGAGGAAUAUUGGUCAAUGGGUGAGAGCCUGAACCAGCCAAGUCGCGUGCAGGAUGACAGCCCUAUGGGUUGUAAACUGCUUUUAUAUAGGAAUAAUAGUUUUUUCGUGAAAGAGUUUGAAUGUACUAUAUGAAUAAGGACCGGCUAACUCCGUGCCAGCAGCCGCGGUAAUACGGAGGGUCCGAGCGUUAUCCGGAUUUAUUGGGUUUAAAGGGUGCGUAGGCGGGUAGAUAAGUCAGUGGUGAAAGUUUGUCGCUUAACGAUAAAAUUGCCAUUGAAACUGUUUAUCUUGAAUACAGUAGAGGUAUGCGGAAUAUAUUGUGUAGCGGUGAAAUGCAUAGAUACGAUAUAGAACACCAAUUGCGAAGGCAGCUUACUAUGCUGUUAUUGACGCUGAUGCACGAAAGCGUGGGUAGCGAACA
rnacentral:rRNA from 1 species